GGCGUGAUAGCAAAGCGGUUAAUGCGAUUGACUCGAAUUGACCUCAGGCAUGUGCUGGAGGUUUCCACUUUGAUAUCAAUUCCCUUCGGGGGCGCAGGUUCGAGUCCUGCUCACGUCG